rnacentral:rRNA from 1 species
AUUGAACGCUGGCGGCAGGCUUAACACAUGCCAGUCGAGCGAGCGGCGGACGGGUGAGUAAUGUCUGGGAAACUGCCUGAUGGAGGGGGAUAACUACUGGAAACGGUAGCUAAUACCGCAUACCAUCAGAUGUGCCCCGAUGGGAUUAGCUAGUAGGUGGGGUAAUGGCUCACCUAGGCGACGAUCCCUAGCUGGUCUGAGAGGAUAACCAGCAACAGUGGAACUGAGACACGGCCCAGACUCCUAGGGGAGGAAGCGGGGGGGAAUAUUGCACAAUGGCGGCAAGCCUGAUGCAGCAAUGCCGCGUGUGUGAAGAAGGCCUUCGGGUUGUAAAGCACUUUCAGCGAGGAGGCGUUACUCGCAGAAGAAGCACCGGCUAACUCCGUGCCAGCAGCCGCGUAAUUC